GACGAACGCUGGCGGCGUGCCUAAUACAUGCAAGUAGAACGCUGAAGGAGGAGCUUGCUCUUCUGGAUGAGUUGCGAACGGGUGAGUAACGCGUAGGUAACCUGCCUGGUAGCGGGGGAUAACUAUUGGAAACGAUAGCUAAUACCGCAUAAGAGUAGAUGUUGCAUGACAUUUACUUAAAAGGUGCAAUUGCAUCACUACCAGAUGGACCUGCGUUGUAUUAGCUAGUUGGUGGGGUAACGGCUUACCAAGGCGACGAUACAUAGCCGACCUGAGAGGGGGGUCGGCCACACUGGGACUGGGACACGGCCCAGACUCCUACGGGGGGCAGCAGUAGGGAAUCUUCGGCAAUGGACGGAAGGCUGACCGAGCAACGCCGCGUGAGUGAAGAAGGUUUUCGGAUCGUAAAGCUCUGUUGUAAAAGAAGAACGAGUGUGAGAGUGGAAAGUUCACACUGUGACGGUAUCUUACCAGAAAGGGACGGCUAACUACGUG
rnacentral:rRNA from 1 species